UGAGUAACCUGCCCCAAACUCUGGGAUAAGCACUGGAAACGGUGUCUAAUACCGGAUAUGACUCCUCAUCGCAUGGUGGGGGGUGGAAAGCUUUAUUGUGGUUUGGAUGGACUCGCGGCCUAUCAGCUUGCUGGUGAGGUAAUAGCUCACCAAGGCGAUGACGGGUAGCCGGCCUGGAGGAGGGUGACCGGCCACACGUGGGACUGAGACACGGCCCAGACCUCCGUACGGGAGCA
rnacentral:rRNA from 1 species